rnacentral:lncRNA from 1 species
UGAGUAAAGUUCAGUACUUUUCUGUUUGAUCUUUUGGUUUCACCUUAACUUCUGUACAUUACACGAAUGUUUAAUCAGGAUGUAGGCAUUUUGGAUAUUAGAAAUGAAAAACAUGCUCAGUACUUAUAUCUGUGAGUGCCCCUCUGGUGGCCUGUAUCAGCAGGACAGUUUUUGAUGAGGGAAAGAAGCUAAAUUUUAUUGAUUUAAUUGAAUUUAAUUUUUUCUGUAAAAAGAUUGAUUUACAAUAACAGUAAUCUUUAAAAUUCAAAGCAACAACAGCAAUGAACAUAUGCACACAGCGUUCAAUUAAAGACACAUUUUUGUU